rnacentral:rRNA from 1 species
UUCUGUGGGGGCGGAGCGGCCGGCCGCAACUUGCGGUUCGAGCUAGCGCUUCCCCUACAUCCUGCCGCGAACCGUGCUACCAUUAGUUUGGUGGCGCCGGGGAUCGGCUCGUUUACUUUGAGAAAAAUAGAGUGUUCAAAGCAGGCCACACGCCUUGAAUAAGUUAGCAUGGAAUAAUAAUAAAGGACUUCGGUUCUAUUUUGUUGGUGUUCGGGACUGAAGUAAUGAUUGAUAGGGACAGUUGGGGCGGUCAGUAUUCCAAAGCGAGAGGUGAAAUUCUUAGACCUUCGGAAGACUAACAGCUGCGAAAGCGUUCCGCAAGGAUGUUCCCUUUGAUCAAGAACGAAAGUUGGGGGAUCGAAGACGAUCAGAUACCGUCGUAGUCUCAACUAUAAACUAUACCAGCUAGGGAUCGGCCAACGUUAAAUUAUUCGACUUGGUCGGCACCUUAUGAGAAAUCAAAGCAUCUGGGUUCCGGGGGGAGUAUGGUCGCAAGGCUGAAACUUAAAGGAAUUGACGGAAGGGCACCACCAGCCGUGGAGCCUGUGGCUUAAUUUGACUCAACACGGGAAAACUUACCAGGUCCAGACAUAGUAAGGAUUGACAGAUUGAUAGCUCUUUCUUGAUUCUGUGGGUGGUGGUGCAUGGCCGUUCUUAGUUGGUGGAGUGAUUUGUCUGGUUAAUUCCGUUAACGAACGAGACCCCAGCCUGCUAAAUAGCGCGGUUGAGCUUUGCUCGGCGCGAGCUUCUUAGAGGGACUAUGAUGCGCGAUAGCACAUGGAAGUUUGGGGCAAUAACAGGUCUGUGAUGCCCUUAGAUGUUCUGGGCCGCACACGGGCUACACUGGCGCCUGCAACGAGCAUAUCAGCUGGCCCGAGAGGGUCUUGGCUAAUCUUUUGAACCGGCGCCGUGCUUGGGAUUGACCAUUGCAAUUGUUGGUCAUGCAACGAGGAAUGCCUUGUAAACGCGAGUCAUCAACUCGCAUUGAAUACGUCCCUGCCCUUUGUACACACGCCCGUCGCUCUACGAUGAUG